GUGGGGAAUCUUAGACAAUGGGCGCAAGCCUGAUCUAGCCAUGCCGCGUGAGCGAUGAAGGCCUUAGGGUUGUAAAGCUCUUUCAGCUGGGAAGAUAAUGACGGUACCUGAAGAAGAAGCCCCGGCUAACUUCGUGCCAGCAGCCGCGGUAAUACGAAGGGGGCUAGCGUUGCUCGGAAUCACUGGGCGUAAAGCGCACGUAGGCGGCUUUCUAAGUCAGGGGUGAAAUCCUGGAGCUCAACUCCAGAACUGCCUUUGAUACUGGAGAGCUUGAGUUCGGGAGAGGUGAGUGGAACUGCGAGUGUAGAGGUGAAAUUCGUAGAUAUUCGCAAGAACACCAGUGGCGAAGGCGGCUCACUGGCCCGAUACUGACGCUGAGGUGCGAAAGCGUGGGGAGCAAACAGGAUUAGAAACCCGUGUAGUCC
rnacentral:rRNA from 1 species